rnacentral:rRNA from 1 species
AUGGACGCUGGCGGCGUGCCUAAUACAUGCAAGUCGAGCGAACAGACGAGAGUGCUUGCACUCUCUGACGUUAGCGGCGGACGGGUGAGUAACACGUGGGUAACCUACCUAUAAGACUGGGAUAACUUCGGGAAACCGGAGCUAAUACCGGAUAAUAUUUAGCUUCGCAUGAAGCAAUAGUGAAAGACGGUUCUGCUGUCACUUAUAGAUGGACCCGCGGUGUAUUAGCUAGUUGGUGAGGUAACGGCUCACCAAGGCAACGAUACAUAGCCGACCUGAGAGGGUGAUCGGCCACACUGGGACUGAGACACGGCCCAGACUCCUACGGGAGGCAGCAGUAGGGAAUCGUCCGCAAUGGACGAAAGCCUGACGGAGCAAUGCCGCGUGAGUGAAGAAGGUUUUCGGAUCGUAAAACUCUGUUGUAAGGGAAGAACAAGUACGUUAGUAACUGAACGUACCUUGACGGUACCUUACCAGAAAGCCACGGCUAACUACGUG